ensembl:lncRNA
CAAAUUACCUACUUCGGGACUUUGGGCAGAACAAAGGAACCCUAAGUCUUCAAGAGCUUAAAACACACACACACAAACACACACACACACACACACACACACACUUUGUGUUCCCCCCUUUCCCCGGAUUCCUCCAACCUCUCCCCUAAUAAUGCGACACCAGAAGGUGAACAAGAGGCAGCCCCGAUAUUUUACAGAUCCAGGGCGGUCGGAAUUCCAAAGGGGACGAGGAGAGAAAAACCCUCCUCUAGCUCGGGCUCCUGCUCCCCUCCCCACGUCGCCCUCUAAUUACCUCUCCGGAGUUCUCGGCCUCUUCUUCAGGCUCCCAAUGGGAGCAUGAUGGGGGGCCCCUUCUCCCCAAGACGCUGCUCCCCCUCUAGCCCCCGCGGGGUCUUUUCUCUCGGUGAGGGCGGAUGUGAAUGGGGAUGCGGGGGCGGCCUCUCGCAAGAGGAAGAGGAGACUGGCGGCUUCUGGGGUAGAAAGGGGGUGUCGCAGGCCGGUUUCCUGGUCUCAAGUUUUGACACGAGUUUCCCAGCCGCCCCAACAAAGAUCCCCCGAGGAAAAGGGGAAGGCCAAAAAAAAAAAAGUUUUCUCUCGUGACACCGCCCGGAAUUACUGCAUGAAACUCACUUCCUGCCCGGGCACAGAAGCUGAAUCCAGGUCCACGCACGGGAACCCGGAAAACCAGCUCGACCAAAGCCGGGGAGCAGAAGGCGGGCGGGGGGGGGGAGGUGUCUGUCUCUCCCGCCGCCGAGGACCGUCCGAGCCCCGGCCACAGAGAUGGACGAUCGGAAUCCAGUCGCGCGAAGCUGCCGAGUGCGCUCGCGGUGCGACCAAGCCGACGACGCACCCCACUGCGGGCUCCUCCCGGUCCGGCGAGCGCGGCUACACCGCGCCCCUUCCUCUGCCGCCGCGGCCCUCGCUAGGCCAGCUCCCGCAGCCGCAGCCGCAGCCGCAGCCGCCGCCGGGGUUAUUGUCUCGACCGCGCCUGCCGCGCCCUUCGCCCGCGCCGCCACCGCCACCGCCACCGGGGUCCCGAGUCCUGGGAGAAAGAGGGAGGGGGCAGGCACGCGGGCCGGCCCCCGCCCCCGGCCGUCAGUCCGCCCGGCCCGGGUCUCCGUCCCCUCCUCCUCCCCACCCCCUGCCCUCGCCUAGGGCUCGCGGCUUCCCGCCCGUGCCCCGCUCCCGCAGCCCCGGACCGCUGUGGCGGAGGAGGAGGCUCCGCGAUUGCGGACGGGGUGCGAGGCAGAGCGCAGAGGGAGAGAGACGGACGCCGCCGCCGAGGGAUGCAAAGGUGAGGUGGGAAGGAGCAGAAGACAACAAGAAUGAAGAGGCCAGCCUGAGCCUGAGAGUCUGACCAUACAUGGAGGAUGACAAUGUCAAGUCAAGCAGUGAGCCCUCCCUCACUUAAAUCCAAUUCACUUGCUAGUCAUGGCAUCAACUUCCUGAUGUCAUGAUCCUCUUUGAGAACAAAAGACAAACAGCAACAGCAACCAGAAGAGGUAAAGUACAGGUGGACUGAGACCAGACUAGGGCACUGAGAUUAGCUUGAGUAUAUGGGAAUCAUUGAGAUAUGUGAACUUGGUCCACAACACCUUUCUUCCCUGCUUCAUCCCAGGAUCUUGGGGUGGGG